CCCUUAGAUGUUCUGGGCCGCACACGCGCUACAAUGACAAAGUCAACGAGUAGAUCCGUUACUGAUAAGUACCGGUAAUCUUUUCAGUCUUUGUCGUGAUGGGGAUAGACCCUUGUAAUUAUUGGUCUCCAACGAGGAAUUCCUAGUAAACGCAAGUCAUCAACUUGCAUUGAUUACGUCCCUGCCCUUUGUAUACACCGCCCGUCGCACCUACCGAUUGAAUGGCCCGGUGAAGUCUUCGGACUGGAGCUGACUCGUUAGCUCCAGAAAGUUGAGUAAACCUUACCAUUUAGAGGAAGGUGAAGUCGUAACA
rnacentral:rRNA from 1 species